AACGCAGGUGGUUUGGUAAGUCAGGGGUGAAAGUCCACAGCUUAACUGUGGCACUGCCUUUGAUACUACCUUUCUUGAGUGCAUGAGGGGGAAGCGGAAUUCCGAGUGUAGAGGUGAAAUUCGUAGAUAUUCGGAGGAACACCGGUGGCGAAGGCGGCUUCCUGGCAUGUAACUGACACUCAUGUUCGAAAGCGUGGGGAGCAAACAGGAUUAGAUACCCUAGUAGUCCACGCCCUAAACGAUGGGCACUAGGUGUGGGAGGUAUCGACCCCUUCCGUGCCGCAGCUAACGCAUUAAGUGCCCCGCCUGGGGAGUACGGCCGCAAGGUUGAA
rnacentral:rRNA from 1 species